UUUUCUUCACUGUGUGAAAAUGCAGGAGUCUCAUUGCUGCAGGGGAGGGCAACUCCUCACUUCUUUUUCACUUCCAUUCUUUCCUCAACUUCCUCCUGAUGGACCAUCUGACCACACCAUUCUUCAGUUCCCCUAGGCAGAGCUGGUGGCAGACAAGGGUCAUUAGUAACCGUCUGGACAUUCUCCCCAAACAGCACCCACUAUGGGAAAACCACCCAAUAUUUGGCCAUGCACCUAUCAUAUUGUAUUUCCUGCAAGCUGAUGAUGGCUGGCACCUCUGUUGACAAGUGCAGACUCUACGUCCCCCAAUCCCCAGUCCUGACAAGAUCCUGAAAAUCCUGGACACCUUAACUCCAACACCCCUUCAGUCAUUCCUCAGAGGCUUGCUGUGGGAUGGAUGAAGAGAAGCAGGGAUCCAAUGAAGGAAGGACUUUGCCUGCAAAAGGCUCUUAGCAGAUCCUUGUCCAUGCACUUGGAUACCCAUGAGACUGACAAAGAGUGAAUAACAGGGAGGUUUGUGAGAAGUAAUCAGUCGGAAACAAUCUGGAAGGUCACAAUACUGAGCUAAGGCCCAUCUCUCAGGACGCUUCACAAACAGAUGUCCAGGGAUUACCCCAUCCCAGUGGAAAGACACAGGCUCUGUUUUUGUUUGUGAAUUUGCUUUACUCCCUAGAAAAUGUCAUGUAUUUUUAGACAAAUGCUGCUGAAAUGCUGAAUGAGUGGACUGCACAGAACAUGCUUCAACACACUGGAAGUCUUCCGUUCUGGCAGCAGGUGAUGCCUCCUCCCUACAGGCCUCUGCUUCAGUGUGGCAUGGCUUUUUCUGCUCCUCAGUUCUGAAUGUAUUGUAUAAAUGGAACUACAACAUUUCAAUUAAAUGAGACUGUUAACUUUGUGCAAAUUGUAAAGGAUUACAAAGGUUUCAUUUGAAUUAAAAGAAUUCAGAAGUA